rnacentral:rRNA from 1 species
CCCCUAGAUGUUCUGGGCCGCACGCGCGCUACACUGAACAGUUCAACAAGUCUUAACCUUGGCCGAUAGGUCUGGGUAAUCUUUGAACGCUGUUCGUGAUUGGGAUAGACCUUUGCAAUUAUGGGUCUUCAACGAGGAAUUCCUAGUAAACGCAAGUCAUCAGCUUGCAUUGAUUACGUCCCUGCCCUUUGUACACACCGCCCGUCGCACCUACCGAUUGAAUGGUCCGGUGAAAUCUCGGGACGGCGGCUUGGUCGUUUGCGUCCGACUGCUGAAACUUGAUUAAACCAUAUCAUUUAGAGGAAGGUGAAGUCGUAACA